rnacentral:rRNA from 1 species
AACACAUGCAAGUCAGGGGCAGCACAAGGAGCAAUCUGAGGUGGCGACCGGCGCACGGGUGAGUAACACGUAUGCAACCUGCCUGUAAGCGGGGAAUAACCCGUUGAAAGACGGACUAAUACCGCAUAAUACUAAAUUACUGCAUGGUAAUUUAUUUAAACAUUUAUGGCUUACAGAUGGGCAUGCGCAUGAUUAGCUAGUUGGAGAGGUAACGGCUCCCCAAGGCAACGAUCAUUAGGGGUUCUGAGAGGAAGGUCCCCCACACUGGUACUGAGACACGGACCAGACUCCUACGGGAGGCAGCAGUGAGGAAUAUUGGUCAAUGGACGAGAGUCUGAACCAGCCAAGUCGCGUGCAGGAAGAAUGUCCUAUGGAUUGUAAACUGCUUUUGCAGGGGAAUAAAGUGCAUCACGUGUGAUGUUUUGUAUGUACUCUGCGAAUAAGGAUCGGCUAACUCCGUGCCAGCAGCAGC